GGAAGUUAUAAGAUUGUCGCUGCUAACGAUAAUUGGAAUGCUUGUUGUAUUCAACUUUCU
rnacentral:tRNA from 1 species